UACGGAGGGUGCAAGCGUUAAUCGGAAUUACUGGGCGUAAAGCGCGCGCAGGUGGCUUGAUAAGCCGGUUGUGAAAGCCCCGGGCUCAACCUGGGAAUGGCAUCUGGAACUGUGAGUCUAGAGUGCAGGAGAGGGAGGUAGAAUUCCCGGUGUAGCGGUGAAAUGCGUAGAGAUGGGGAGGAAUACCGGAGGCGAAGGCGGCCUUUUGGGCUUGCACUGACGCUGAGGUGCGAAAGCGUGGGUAGCAAACAGG
rnacentral:rRNA from 1 species